CCUACGGGUGGCAGCAGUGAGGAAUAUUGGUCAAUGGGCGGGAGCCUGAACCAGCCAAGCCGCGUGAGGGAAGAAGGUACAGCGUAUCGUAAACCUCUUUUGUCAGGGAACAAAGGCGGGGACUAGUCCCCGGAUGAGGGUACCUGAAGAAAAAGCAUCGGCUAACUCCGUGCCAGCAGCCGCUGUAAGAUGGAGGAUGCGAGCGUUAUCCGGAUUUAUUGGGGUAAAGGGGUGCGCGGGCGGCCUGUUAAGUCAGCGGUAAAAGCCCGGGGCUCAACCCCGGCGAGCCGUUGAAACUGGCAGGCUUGAGUUGGAGAGAGGGACGCGGAAUGCGCGGUGUAGCGGUGAAAUGCUUAGAGAUCGCGCAGAACCCCGAUUGCGAAGGCAGCGUACCGGCUCCACACUGACGCUGAGGCGCGAAAGCGUGGGUAUCGAACAGGAUUAGAUACCCUUGUAGUC
rnacentral:rRNA from 1 species